rnacentral:lncRNA from 10 species
UCGCAAGCCCGGAAGUAACCGGGAACGGGCAACUUCGUAGCUCCCACCCGACGUGGUGGCCUCCUUGCGGUUUCCUUUCGCCGUUUCCGAACCGAGGGAUUGCUACUCGCCUUUGGCUUGGCGGUCUCUGUGCUCGGGGGUCCGAAAACUGCUGGAAGGCCCCCGGUCUCUGGAGGGGAGCAGGCGGUAGCGAGUUUAGUGACGUGGAGCAGGCGCAGAACAGUCGGAGAUUUGAAGAGAUUUCCUGGGUGUGGAGUGUGACUUUCCAAAACCAGCUUUUCCUUGAGCUGUAUUUGUUGCAGCAAUGUUUAGGAGAUUGACUUUUGCACAACUGCUUUUUGCCACUGUCCUUGGAAUUGCUGGAGGAGUAUAUAUUUUUCAACCAGUAUUUGAACAGUAUGCCAAAGAUCAGAAGGAAUUAAAAGAAAAGAUGCAGUUGGUACAAGAAUCAGAAGAGAAGAAAAGUUAAUACUACAUGGAGUUAGGCCUGGCGCAGUGGCUCACGCCUGUAAUCCCAGCACUUUGGGAGGCCGAGGCGGGUGGAUCAGGUGGUCAGGAGUUCAAGACCAGCCUGACCAACAUGGUGAAACCCUGUCUCUACUGAAAAUACAAAAAUCAGCCAGGCUUGGUGGCAUGCGCCUGUAAUCCCAGCUACUUGGGAGGCUGAGGCAGGAGCAUCACUUGAACCUGGGAGGCAGAGGUGGCAGUGAGUCAAGAUCACGCUGCUGCACUCCAGCCUGGGUGACAGAGCGAGACUCCAUCUAAAAAAACAAAAAGCAAAAAAACCCACAAAUACCUCAUGGAGAUGAACUGUAAUAAUUGCUUAAAGUUCCAUUUAAUUAUGUUAACUCUAAUCUAGCAAAAACAUAGAUGUACUUAAAAAUAAAUCAUGGAUAAUGAUUUUUUAACCUAA